rnacentral:rRNA from 1 species
UACGGAGGAUGCGAGCGUUAUCCGGAUUUAUUGGGUUUAAAGGGUGCGCAGGCGGAUUUUUAAGUCAGCGGUCAAAUCGUGGGGCUCAACCCCAUCCAGCCGUUGAAACUGGGGAUCUAGAGUGUGCGAGAGGUAUGCGGAAUGCGUGGUGUAGCGGUGAGAUGCAUAGAUAUCACGCAGAACCCCGAUUGCGAAGGCAGCAUACCGGUGCACAACUGACGCUCAGGCACGAAAGCGUGGGUAUCGAACAGG